rnacentral:rRNA from 1 species
UAGGGAAUCUUCGGCAAUGGACGAAAGGUCUGACCGAGCAACGCCGCGUGAGUGAAGAAGGUUUUCGGAUCGUAAAACUCUGUUGUUAGAGAAGAACAAGGGUGAGAGUAACUGUUCACCCCUUGACGGUAUCUAACCAGAAAGCCACGGCUAACUACGUGCCAG